UAUUAAAAAUUUCCUCCAAUUGUACUUUUAAAAUUUAGUAUGGCUAACAAAAUAACCAAACAAUGACACAUAGCAUUCCAUAUGUACUUUAUACUGACAUACAAAGACUCAUUUUUAACAGUAUAAAUGAAUAAAAUUUUAACA
rnacentral:pre_miRNA from 1 species